UACGGAGGGUGCGAGCGUUGCCCGGAUUUAUUGGGUUUAAAGGGUGCGUAGGUGGGUUAAUAAGUCAGUGGUGAAAUACGGUUGCUCAACAAUCGAGGUGCCAUUGAUACUGUUAAUCUUGAAACAAGUGGAGGUUGCCGGAAUGGAUGGUGUAGCGGUGAAAUGCAUAGAUAUCAUCCAGAACACCGAUUGCGAAGGCAGGUGACUACGUUUGAUUUGACACUGAGGCACGAAAGCAUGGGGAGCAAACAGG
rnacentral:rRNA from 1 species